AGCGGGGGAUAACAUUCCGAAAGGAGUGCUAAUACCGCAUAAGACCACGGCCUCGAAAGAGGCUGAGGUAAAAGCUGGCCUCUAUACAUAAGCUAGCACUUGAGGAUGGGCCCGCGGCGCAUCAGGUAGUUGGUGAGGUAAUGGCUCACCAAGCCGAAGACGGGUAGCUGGUCUGAGAGGAUGAUCAGCCACACUGGUACUGGAACACGGACCAGACUCCUACGGGAGGCAGCAGUGGGGAAUCUUGGUCAAUGGGCGCAAGCCUGAACCAGCGACGCCGCGUGAGUGAUGAAGGCCUUCGGGUUGUAAAGCUCUGUGGGGCGAGACGAAAGCGUCGGUUCUAACAGGACCGGCUUUGACGGUAUCGCCUUAGCAAGCACCGGCUAACUCUGUGCCAGCAGCCGCGGUAAGACAGAGGGUGCAAACGUUGCUCGGAAUCACUGGGCGUAAAGGGCGUGUAGGCGGGAAGCUAAGUCAGGUGUGAAAUCCCCAGGCUCAACCUGGGAACUGCACUUGAAACUGUCUUUCUUGAGUGUCGGAGAGGAAAGUGGAAUUCCUGGUGUAGAGGUGAAAUUCGUAGAUAUCAGAGGAACACGGUGGCGAAGCGGCUUUCUGGACGACAACUGACGCUGAGACGCGAAAGCGUGGGGAGCAACAGAUAGAUACCCUGGUAGUCCACGCUGUAACGAUGAAC
rnacentral:rRNA from 1 species